AGAGAGUGAGAUAGAGAGAGGAGAGAGCGGAGGGGAUAAACGGACAAGAGGGAAAAGCUGAGAACAAAUCCAAGCCAACCAACCAAUCCCAAUAUCCAUAGACCACACUGACUCUCCAUUGGACCACAGCUCUCCUUCCCCAACCAAAACUAAGAAACCCCUGCAACUCUGCAAGAACACCACCAUCCCACCUCCCAGCGAGAAAAUCUUUUUGUACGAAAAAAGGGGGCGGUCAGAUUUACUCCACAUCACUCCCCAUGCACCGGCCCUGAGGAAAGCGUUCCAGUCGACUCUCCAUUCUUCCACGAUUCCAGGAAACCCUCGCCGAUCCAAGCAAAUCUUGUUCACCAGAGCGCCAAGAAGUUGUUGCCUCUUGGCUUCAUGACAGCUCCUUGAGCUGCUGCUCGUUAUCCAGCUUUUUCCUUGGGUAAUUAGCUACCUGCUCGUCGUCGCACAAAGGCCUUGGUGCCUAGUCAUGUCGGCGUCGCCGUCGAUGAGCGGCGGUGCCGGGGAGCGGACGCGGACGGUGGUGUGGUUCAGGCGGGACUUGCGCGUGGAGGACAACCCGGCCCUAGCGGCGGCGGCGCGAACAGCCGGGGAGGUGGUGCCGGCGUACGUGUGGGCGCCGGAGGAGGACGGGCCGUACUACCCUGGGCGGGUGUCCCGGUGGUGGCUCAGCCAGAGCCUCAAGCACCUGGACGCCUCGCUGCGCCGGCUCGGCGCCACCCGGCUGGUCACCCGGCGGUCCACCGACACCGUCGCCGCGCUGCUGGAGCUCGUCCGCAGCACCGGCGCCACCCAUCUCUUCUUCAACCACCUCUACGACCCGCUGUCGCUGGUCCGGGACCACCGGGUGAAGCAAGUGCUGGGGGCCGAGGGCAUCACCGUGCAGUCCUUCAACUCCGACCUGCUCUACGAGCCAUGGGAGGUCCUCGACGACCACGGCUGCCCCUUCACCAUGUUCACGCCCUUCUGGAACAAGUGCCUCUGUAUGGUCGACCCCCCCGCGCCCAUGCUGCCACCCAAGAGGAUCAAUUCAGGUGACUUGUCGAGGUGCUGCUCAUCGGACGACCUCAUCUUCGAAGACGAGUCGGAGAGGGGGAGCAACGCGCUGCUCGCACGCGCGUGGUCGCCGGGGUGGCAGAACGCCGACAAGGCUUUCACGGCCUUCAUCAACGGCCCGCUCAUCGACUACUCCGUGAACCGCAAGAAGGCCGACAGUGCAAACACCUCACUGCUCUCCCCCUACCUGCACUUUGGCGAGCUCAGCGUCCGCAAGGUCUUCCAUCAGGUACGGAUGAAGCAGCUAACGUGGAGCAACGAGAGCAACCGCGACGGCGAGGAGGGCUGCAGCCUCUUCCUUCGUUCCAUCGGCCUGCGAGAGUACUCCAGGUACCUCGCCUUCAACCACCCAUGCAGCCACGAGAAGCCCCUCUUGGCUCAUCUCAGGUUCUUCCCCUGGGUGGUCAAUGAGGUCUACUUCAAGGUCUGGAGGCAGGGUAGGACCGGCUACCCUCUUGUCGACGCCGGCAUGAGGGAGCUUUGGGCCACCGGCUGGCUGCAUGACCGCAUACGUGUCGUCGUCUCAAGCUUCUUCGUCAAGGUUCUCCAGCUGCCAUGGCGCUGGGGGAUGAAGUACUUCUGGGACACCUUGCUGGACGCCGACCUUGAGAGCGACGCGUUGGGCUGGCAGUACAUCUCCGGGUCUCUGCCUGAUGGCCGUGAGCUCGACCGCAUUGACAACCCGCAGUUUGAAGGCUACAAGUUCGACCCAUACGGGGAGUACGUCCGGCGAUGGCUGCCGGAGCUGGCGAGGCUACCAACGGAAUGGAUACACCACCCCUGGGAUGCACCCGAGUCUGUGCUGCGGGCUGCAGGAAUUGAGCUAGGUUCCAAUUACCCUCUCCCCAUUGUUGAGCUAGAUGAAGCCAAGUCCAGAUUGCAGGACGCCCUGUCAGAGAUGUGGGAGCUUGAGGCAGCCUCUCGUGCUGAGAUAGAGAAUGGAAUGGAGGAAGGCCUGGGAGACUCCUCAGACGAGCCACCCAUUGCCUUCCCCCAAGAGCUGCAGCAUAUGGAAGUGGACCGUGCCACUAUCCACACACCAGCGACGGCUGGCCGGAGACGAGCAGAUCAGAUGGUGCCUAGCAUCACCUCUUCCUUGGUCAGAGCUGAAACAGAAACAGAACUUUCCGCAGCUUUUGAAAGCGAAGUGAAUAGGCCGGAGGUGCCAUCACAGGUGCAUUUCCAGCCUCAGACUCGGAUGGAAGUCAGGGAUGAAGGUGUCAGCGACGGCACUGCUGCCAGAUACAACGGCGUCCAGCAGCAGCAGCAGUAUACCCUACACCGUCACCGUGUGCAGGGCGGCAUAGCACCAUCCACUUCAGAGGCAUCAAGCAGCUGGACUGGGAGAGAAGGUGGGGUAGUACCCGUCUGGUCGCCUCCGGCUGCGUCAGGCCAUUCAGAUCCCUACGCUGCGGAUGAAACUGACAUUUCCAGUAGGAGUUAUUUGGACAGGCACCCGCAGCAGUCACAUAGGUUGAUGAAUUGGAAUCAGCUCUCCCAGUCAUCGUGACCUCAGAUGCAUGGUAAACCCAACUAGAAUUUGCUUCUCAAGUACUCCUAUGUACUUCUGGAUGAAACAACAGCGGGCUGCCAAGUGGAAAACUUUUGCCCAGAUGCAUGAACGAAUUUAAUUGUGUAGGGAGUUGGAGAGUGACGUAUGUACAUUAUAUUGCCUUCUGUUCGCCGUUUAAUUGACGUAUAGCCUUGGUAUGCAGGAAGAACCAAGUGAUGCAGCUUCAUUCAUGGGUGCAAUAAGUUAUGUAAAACUAGACUUGUAGAACUUCUGUGGUAAUAGUAUAGAUUGCUAGUUGUCAAAAUGAUGUGCACCGUUUAUCAGAUAAAGGUUAUGUCUGUAAUGGUA